rnacentral:lncRNA from 1 species
ACCAAUGGAAAAAAAGAAGAGGAAAACCAUGAUUUAGGGAUGAUAUUUUGCUAAAGUAUCUAACUUUUGUCAUAUAUAUAAAGUAGAUUGCAGAAAGUUUUACAUCUUUUGUCGUCUGCAUAUCUCAGAGUUAUUAUUCAAAAGAGUGUGUUAUCAAUUGAUGUUCUGUCUACAUUUAGCAUAAUAAUAAAAAGAAAAAAAAAGGAAUCCAUAUUUACAGAGAGUUGUUUGUACCUACUUUGUCUUGAGAAUAAAGUAAAUAAAUAGUUUGGAGAAACAAACAAAAAUUUAAAAUACAUAUAUACUAAGCCCAUAAAAAUUGUCAGAUUAUAUCACAUGGGUAGCUCUUGAGUCUUGAGGUUGAUUGAAUAUCGUAGAUUCCAUUUGCGAGAGAAGAAGAAAAAAAAAACAAAAGACAAACAUUCAUAUCUUUUUAUUUAUAUUUAUAUUUAUAUUUAC